rnacentral:rRNA from 1 species
UACGGGGGGGGCAAGCGUUGUUCGGAAUUACUGGGCGUAAAGGGCUCGUAGGUGGCCAACUAAGUCAGACGUGAAAUCCCUCGGCUUAACCGGGGAACUGCGUCUGAUACUGGAUGGCUUGAGUUCGGGAGAGGGAUGCGGAAUUCCAGGUGUAGCGGUGAAAUGCGUAGAUAUCUGGAGGAACACCGGUGGCGAAGGCGGCAUCCUGGACCGAGACUGACACUGAGGCGCGAAAGCCAGGGGAGCAAACGGG